rnacentral:rRNA from 1 species
GACGAACCGUGCGAACGUUGUUCGGAUUCACUGGGCUUAAAGGGCGCGUAGGCGGGCGGUCAAGUCAGGGGUGAAAUCUUUCGGCUCAACCGGAAAAGUGCCUUUGAUACUGGCCGUCUUGAGGGAGGUAGGGGCAUGCGGAACUUCCGGUGGAGCGGUGAAAUGCGUAGAUAUCGGAAGGAACACCGGUGGCGAAAGCGGCGCGCUGGACCUCUUCUGACGCUGAGGCGCGAAAGCCAGGGGAGCAAACGGG